rnacentral:ncRNA from 1 species
GGUCAUGAGUGUCAGCGUGUGGCCCUGGCUUGCUGACCGGCAACCCUCGAUACAGCGGUGGGGUGCUCCAGGUGACGACCCGACAGGACAGGGCUGUCCUGUAAGCGCGAGGC